CAUCCUCCAAGGCUAAAUACUCCUGACUGACCGAUAGUGAACCAGUACCGUGAGGGAAAGGCGAAAAGAACCCCGGCGAGGGGAGUGAAAAAGAACCUGAAACCGUGUACGUACAAGCAGUGGGAGCCCCACCACCAAAGCAUUCUCUGGUGUUGAAGGCCCUGCAAAGCAGCAUCGCGGUGGCGGAGCGUCGUUUGGCGASGSSCAGUGACACACAAGAACCUGAARCSGUGUACGUACAAGCWKUGGGAGYACAGGUUUACCUGUGUGACUGCGUACCUUUUGUAUAAUGGGUCAGCGACUUAUAUUCUGUAGCAAGGUUAACCGMAUAGGGGAGCCGSAGGGAAACCGAGUCUUAAYYGGGCGUUAAGUUGCAGGGUAUAGACCCGAAACCCGGUGAUCUAGCCAUGGGCAGGUUGAAGGUUGGGUAACACUAACUGGAGGACCGAACCGACUAAUGUUGAAAAAUUAGCGGAUGACCUGUGGCUGGGGGUGAAAGGCCAAUCAAACCGGGAGAUAGCUGGUUCUCCCCGAAAGCUAUUUAGGUAGCGCCUCGUGAAUUCAUCUCCGGGGGUAGAGCACUGUUUCGGCUAGGGGGCCAUCCCGGCUUACCAACCCGAUGCAAACUGCGAAUACCGGAGAAUGUUAUCACGGGAGACACACGGCGGGUGCUAACGUCCGUCGUGAAGAGGGAAACAACCCAGACCGCCAGCUAAGGUCCCAAAGUCAUGGUUAAGUGGGAAACGAUGUGGGAAGGCCCAGACAGCCAGGAUGUUGGCUUAGAAGCAGCCAUCAUUUAAAGAAAGCGUAAUAGCUCACUGGUCGAGUCGGCCUGCGCGGAAGAUGUAACGGGGCUAAACCAUGCACCGAAGCUGCGGCAGCGAACGUAUCACUUAAAGCGAUUCAGCGGGUUACGAUUGACGGAGCGAAGCGACGUCAAAGCGUAUACAAAGUCGAGUCGGUUUAAGGAUACGUUCGUUGGGUAGGGGAGCGUUCUGUAAGCCUGUGAAGGUGGCCUGUGAGGGUUGCUGGAGGUAUCAGAAGUGCGAAUGCUGACAUAAGUAACGAUAAAGCGGGUGAAAAGCCCGCUCGCCGGAAGACCAA
rnacentral:rRNA from 1 species